rnacentral:lncRNA from 1 species
CCGGAUCCGGUCCGGUCCGGUUCCGGGGAAGGGCCGCCUCGCCCGCCUCGCCUGUUGCCGGCGAGCUCCUGCCGCCGCUGCAUCCCGUGCGGGAUCGGGAGGAGGCGACGAACCGCCGGAGCGCAGCAGCCAGCCGCGUGGGCCCCGCUCGCUAGCCGCCAGCCUCCAGCUGGGCCUCGCGUCACCCCGGCCCAGCUCCUGGUGCGCCCCGCCAGCGAGGCCCACUGCCCCGAAGUCGGCCCAGGCGCCCCUGCGCGAGCCUUUUCUGCCUCCCUGCACCAUGGGCUUGGCCCAUGAGGUCAGCAUCCCUCCAGCCGGUCUAUUCCCCGCCCCCGGCGAUAGUUAGCUAUAUUGCGCUGACCUGUUCGGCCCGUUAGUAUAUUUAGGGGGUUUUGCAAUAUAGUGUAGUGUUUGCGUGACAUUUAUUGCCAUGCCAUCCCUUGCAUCGAUUAAUAACUGAUCAUGCAUCAUAUUAGCGUAUGCAUAUUGUUGUGCAUCGUGUGGUGAAUAUUUGUGUUGAUGUUUGUUUCCGGUUUGCUCCAUUCUGAUAGAGUUCCGCAAGCGUGUCGGAAUGUGAGGACCCGUUCGACUAUGUGGCUCGCGGACUUCUCGGAGUUGUUCUUCUUCCAAGCGGGAUCUCAGGCAAGAUGAUCAUUUCCCCAGAUACCAUUACUAUCAUUGCCAUGCUAGUUUUACCGCUUCUAUCACUUAUGUCUCGUUGCCUACCACAUGUUAAAUAUCAUCCUCUCAACUAUGCCAUGAAACCUUCAACCUGUUCAACCUAGCAAACCACUGAUUGGCUAUGUUACCGCUUGCUUAACCCUGUGUUAGCGUUGCUAGUUGCAGGUGCAGUUUUGCUUCCAUGUGAAAACAUGGGUUCCUUGUUAUAUCACCAUAUUUAAUGCUAUUUAAUUUAAUGCACCUAUAUACUUGGUAAAAGGUGGAAGGCUCGGCCUUUCUAGCCUGGUGUUUUGUUCCACCUUUGCCCCCUUAGUUUCGGCUACCGAUGUUAUGUUCCAUAAUUGAGCGCUCCUAACACGAUCGGGGUUGUUAUGGGGACCCCCUUGAUAAUUCGUUUUAGAUUAAAGCUGGUCUCGCAAGGCCCAACAUUGGUACUACAUUUUCCCAACAUAAUAAUUUGAUAAUUUGAAAUGCAUAGGGAGGUAGCGCUUCCCGAGGAGUAAUUCUACAUAAUACAGGGGGGCCAGUGCUGUUGGUGCUGGUCCAAAACUAGAGCCGUUUGCGGGGCCAACCAGGGACAACUCGGGAGAUUUCUAUCAGGCCACCGUACGUUGUGCUUAUCCGUCAUGUCCUGAGAACAAGAUACGCGGCUCCUAUCGGGAUCGUUGACACGCUGGGCGGCCUUGCUGGAUUAGUUUUACCUUUGACGAGAUAUCUUGUGCAUCGGGAUUCCGGUGAUGCUUUGGGUAAUCUCAGAGUUGAGGUUUUCCACUAAGGAAUCCGACGAGAUCGCGAGUGUCGUGAUCGAGGAUUUCUAUGCGGCUUGUGGUAAUUUGUGAUGGACUAGUUGGAGCACCCCUGCAGGGUUAAAUCUUUCGGAAAGCCAUGCCCGCGGUUAUGUGGCAACGUGGAAACUUUGUUUAACACUGGUUCUAGAUAACUUGAAGUUAACUUAAUUAAAACAUGCCAACUGUGUGCGUAACCGUGACUAUCUCUUUCAUGAGUUCCUUCUCCGAUCAAGGACACGGUGGGGUUAUGUCUGAUGUAGGUAGGUGUUCAGGAUCAUUCAUUUGAUCAUCAGUAGUUCACGUCCGUUAUGCGUAGAUCUUCCCCCUCUUAUUCUUGUACUCGUAAGUUUAGCCACCAAAUGUAUUCUUAGCCGCUGCUGCAACCUCACCACUUAACCUUGCCUCACCUAAUAAGCUUUUCUAGUCUUCAUACCUUUGGAAAUGAGAUUGCUGAGUCCCCUGUGGCUCACAGAUUACUACAACACCAGUUGCAGGUACAUGUAAAGGUUACUUGAGGCGAGCGCGUUGAUUGUUCAUUUGGAGUUGCUUCUUCUUCUUCUUCUUCAUCGAUCUAGGAUGGGUUCCAGGCCGGCAGCCUGGGAUAGCAAGGAUGGACGUCGUUCUUUUUUUCUCGUUUGUUUUCGUCCGUAGUCGGACCCUGCUCUUACUCUUGAUGAUCAUGUAAUGUACUGAUGUGACUCUGAUGUAGCUUGUGGCGAGUGUAAGCCAAUUCUAUAUAUAUAUAUAUCUCUUCUUUUCAGUACAUGUACUUGUAACGAUAUCCAUUCUUGCGACACGACGAGAUGCGCUUCUAUCCCUGACGAGGCCCCGUGCCAAAUUGAGGAUAGGGUCGCAUCUUGGGCGUGACACGACAUCAUCUUGACGUCUCCGAAAGGGGACCAGCUCAAGUACGCUCUCCAGAUCCAUUUCGCCGCCUCCAACAACGUCGCCGAGUACGAAGCACUGGCUCAUGGCCUCCGGCUUGCCAAGGAGAUCGGCAUCCGGCGGCUCAUAUGCUUCAGCGAUUCAGACUUGGUGGUGCAGCAGGUCUUUGGCGAAUGGGACGCCAGGGACGCCAACAUGGCGAGCUACCGCUUCCUCAUCCAGCAGCUCAGCGGCCCCUCUGAGGGUUGUGAGUUCCACCAUGUUCCCAGGGCGGACCAUGAGGCGGCCGAUACACUGGCGAAAAUCGGCUCCACGAGACAGGCCAUUCCAGCCGGCGUCUCCCUCGCGCAACUCCACAAGCCGUCUAUCAAGCCAUAUCCCGAGUCGGCAUCAAUCUUUGUACCGGCCGACUCUACGAUACAAACGCUGCCGGCUCCGCCAGUUAUGCCGGCUGCGGACCCCACGCCGGCUGCACUGGCGGCACCGGCUCCAAAUACGACACCGACUGAAUCCAUGGUGCAAGCGCCGUCGGCUCCACCAACUACGCCGGCUUCGGAUCCUAUUCCGGCUCCAUUGGUCCAACCGACUCCAAUAGCGGCACCAGCUACAACAACAACCCCGGCUUUGCCCGGGCUCGAAUCCUCCCAGUGGGUAGACGUCAUGGAGAUACACGGUGAGCCAGCUGCAGUAAUAGCACUAGAGACACCAUCAGGCUCGGGGGCCGCGGAAGCCUCCAACAGUCAAGACGAAGCAGAGACGACCCUUGUGUCGGCUCCAUCAUGGGCUCAAGCCAUUAUGGCCUUCCUUCUUCGCAGCGAACUUCCUCAGAACGAGGCGGAGGCGAGACAGAUCCAGCGCAGGUAUGCCGCCUAUGCCAUCAUCAAUCGCGAACUGGUGCGACGCAACACGACCGGCGUGUUCCAACGCUGCGUCGAAUCAGAAAAAGGGCAGGAGAUCCUCAGAGACAUUCACCAGGGGGAGUGCGGACAUCACGCCACCUCCAAAACCCUAGUGGCCAAAGCAUUCCGCCAUGGAUUCUACUAGCCCACGGCCCUCGAGGAGGCCGUGGAUCUGGUGGACAAAUGCGAAGGCUGCCAACGCUUCAGUGGACAAAGCCACAUGCCGCCUUCGGCACUCAAAACCAUUCCCUUAUCAUGUCCAUUCGCCGUCUGGGGACUCGACAUGGUUGGGCCCUUGAAGACGGCUCGCGGAGGGAUGACACAUCUUUUGGUAGCUGUCGACAAGUUCACCAAGUGGAUCGAAGCCACACCCAUCAAAAAACUUGACGGCCCCACCGCUGUCAGGUUCAUCACAGACAUCUCUGUCCGAUAUGGCGUUCCCCAUAGCAUCAUCACCGACAAUGGCACCAACUUCGCCAAGGGCGCCCUGGCGCCCUACUGUUCCAAGGUAGGCAUCCGACUCGACUUGGCUUCAGUGGCACACCCUCAGUCAAACGGCCAAGCAGAGAAGGCCAACGGCCUGAUCCUAGCCGGCAUCAAGCUAAGGCUGGUGGCACCACUGGUGAGGUCAGCCGGCUGCUGGAUUGAAGAACUGCCAGCUGUGCUAUGGAGCCUCCGCACCACGCCCAACCGGUCGACCGGCUUCACUCCAUUCUUUCUGGUAUAUGGAUACGAGGCUAUUAUUCCCACGGAUGUCGAGUUCGACUCGCCUCGGGUCACCCUAUACACAGAAACAGAGCCGAAGGAGGCCAGAGAAGACGGUGCGGAUCUCCUCGAAGAAGCAAGGGACUUGGCUUUGAGACGGACGGCCAUUUACCAACAAAAGCCGAGAUACUACCAUAGCAAAAAAGAUCAGGCCUCUCUCUUUCAGGGAGGGAGACUUGGUCCUCAGAAGAAUCCAGCGCACUGCCGGCCAGCACAAGCUCUCAUCCCCCUGGGAGGGACCCUUCAUCAUCAGCAGGGCGCUGCACAACAACGCUUACUACCUGAUUGACGCCCAGAAGCCAAGGAAGCGCAAGAGGGACGACUCCGGCCAAGAAACGGAGCGUCCAUGGAAUGCGGCGUUGCUUCGCCCGUUCUAUUGCUAAAAGGCAGAAGUCAAGCAAAGGAAAGAGCAUGCACUUGUAUCUAUCUCCCUAUUCAGAGAACAACAAAUGCGAUAAAAAGAGCAUGCUUCAUGUUUCUUUUUAUUGAGAGUUCUCACCCAGUGUAUGCCCUCUGACACGCUUCAUUAAGCUCGGGGGCUACACCGCGUACAACCUCUUGCUGGCUUAAUCAAGAUCGGAGGCUACGCAGCGCACGCCCCUUGCUGGCUUUAACAAGCUCGGGGGCUCGCUAGCCGCUCGGACGGCCCAUCCUUGUAAAUGGAUGCAUAGUGUACCGGCUGAUCCCUGGCCCCUCGUACGAACCUGCGGGCUGGCUCCGGUCGCUCGGUUCGCGAGGAGACGCCGGGUAAGGUCGAAUACAUGCAAAGUCCGGCUACACUUGGGUCGCCGGCUCGGGUUGGCUCGAUCGUAUAUACGAUCUCAUUCACGAAGCCGGCAUUGCUUUGCCCGUUCUACUACUAAAAGGCAAAAGUCAAGGAAAGGAAAGAGCAUGCACAUGCAUCGUCCUCCCUCUUCAGGGAACAACAAAUGCGAUAAAAAGAGCAUGCUUCAUGUUUCUUUUUAUUGAGAGUUUUCACUGAGUGUACGCCCUCUCACACGCUUCAUUAAGCUCGGGGGGUACACCGCGUACAACCUCUUGCUGGCUUAAUCAAGCUCGGAGGCUACGCAGCGCACGCCCCUUGCUGGCUUCAACAAGCUAGGGGGCUCGCUAGCCGCUCGGACGGCCUGCCCUUGUAAAAGGACACAUAGUGUACCGGCUGAUGCCUGGUCCAUCGUACGAACCUGCGGGCUGGCUCCGGUUGCCUGGUUUGCAAGGUGACGCCAGGUCAGGUCGAAUACAUGCAAAGUCCGGCUACACUUGGGACGCCGGCUCGGGUUGGCUCAUUCAAGCCGGCCUCUGAUUGGCUUAUGUCUUGUUCUUUAUCUCUUGAUGGCUUCGGAUUAGAGAAGUCAACCAGGAAUCAAAGACAGGAUCAUAAGACAACACGCUUGGUGACGAAUAUAAUGCUGAAUAUAUACAUUCGCAAAAUCAUUGGCCCACGGCCCACGUUCAUUACAUCCCUUCGGGGGUAGAACCAAAACACAAAAGGACACCGGUUACGGGACAACGGCCUCAUUGGUCGUCUCGGCCGCUGUUCCUGAUCUGGUAGCAUCACCGCCUCCGACUCCUCCCGAGGUGGUUGCGCCGUCUCCCUCGCUGAAGCCCCCGGCUCCGUCAACACCGGAGUCGGAAUACGCCGCACCGCUGGAGGCGGCAGCAGAUUCCGUAGCCCGGAUCGCUUCGUCGGAGCUGCCGUCGGCGUCAUAGGGCUGAAGGCCGUGCGGAUCUGCAGCAAUCACACCGCCAUCUUCACCCCGAUCCAAAACGAAGUCAUCCCAGGCUGCGUACUCAGCGACGGUGCUGGCUCUCACGCGUAGCUCCUCCUCCUUGCCCUGCAGCUCCGCCUCCAAGCCGUUGCGUUGGGCAGCCAGCUUGCCCAAGUUCAGGUUCCGAUACCAUGACUUGGCCAAGCGCAGGGCCAUAUAAGCCCCAGACCGCGCUGCGGAGGCACGCCAGGCAUCCAGGCCCUCUCCAUCCACUGCAAGCCAGCGGGCGAGCCGGCUCAUGGACGCCGGCUCCACGCCUUCCGACCACAAGGCCGCCACCAUCGACGAACCUGCAACCUAGAGCUUGGCCACAGACUCGCCCAGCGCGUGCAGGCGGGCCCGAAGGCCCACCCCGAUCUUCUCCACACUCCAGCCGGAGGUAGUGUCUACCUCCUGCCCGGCCGCGCGGUGCUCCUCACGGCACACCUCGACGGCAGUGUCAGCUGCGACCUGGGUCUCGGGGAAGAGAUCUGGAGUGACGACAACCAGGACAUAAGAACACAACAAAAGUAGGAGACCACAAAAAGACCAAACAUAAAACAAGGAAGAGAGACCCACGAUGCAAGGCGUCGUCGGUCUCUUGAGAGACCUCGAGGACCUCGCGCUCCUGCACCUUACUCGCAUGAGUAAGGCGGGCGACUUCCUCCUAGAGGGUCGCCGCAGACUCCAGAGCCUUGGCCAGCUGCGUCUGCUUCUGGACAAGGGCCCCAUCCUUCUCCCUCAAGGUGGCGUCCUUGAGGUCCACCUCCUUGAGGUGAAGCCACGCGAGGCGGUCCACGUCGGCAGAGUAGGAGGCCUCCUUCUCCUGCAGCGUGGCCUACAGCCGCUCCAACUCGACCCAGCCAGCCGCCUCGAGCUCCUUCUUCUUCGCCUGAAGAAGGUCCAGCAGCUCUUGGAGCCGGCCGCCGGCGUUGCAUAGGGCAUCACGCUCUGCGGCGACCCCGCCCAUCCGGGCUUCAAGCUCAGCAAUCCGGCUACCGCCCCCCAGGUGCUGGUCCCGUAGCUCGUUGUAUGCCUGUACCUGAGCAUCAUAAAGCACCUGCCAAAAGGGAGAAAAAGGGAACAAAAUUAAGAUUCGACCUGGUUAAAAACUUAACCAGCCCGAUUCUCGGGGGCUACACCCAGUGGGUGCGCUAGCCGCCCCCACUGAAGAAAACUACGCAGGGAAAAAGGCCUCCAAGAGAUUCGGACCGGUUGGCAAUCAACCCGCCCGAUUCUCGGGGGCUACACCCAGUGGGUGUGCUGUCCCGCCCCCACUAACGCCAAGAGAAGAGAAAAAUAAGUACGAAAAACCAAAGAAGGCAAUGCCUACCUGGGUGCGGGCUUCCAGGCGCUCCAUGUCGCCGCAUACCACGCGGGCCGACUGCUCCACCUUCGACCUGCUGCUGGAGAACAUCGUCACCAGCUCCGGUACGCCAGAGAGAACGGUACCAGCAGGCAAUCGCAGGCGGGCCAAGUUCGCCGCCCGCCAUGUCUUCAUAUGCCGGCUCCCAGCCCGGCCCCCGGCUCUUGGUGCAACAGGGCCGUGCUGAGGAACGACGAUGGCGCCGGCUCCUGGUGCUAGCUCGACAGCCGGCUCGGGCGCCGCCCCAGCCAGCGCUACCUCCCCCACAGGAGGCGGAGGGGCCGCGUCCGGCGCAUCCAUAGUCGCCCCUGGGACGUCAGGGGCCGCGUCCGGCGCCGCCAAGUCCAUCUCCGGCGCGUCGCGGGCCGCUUCGGCCCGGGGAGAGUCAGGGAUCGUCUCCAGAUCCACCGGCGCCGAGGCCGCCGGUUCAGAUGGCUGGGCCCCCUCGGUCCUUGGGGCCGGCCUAGAGGCGGCCUCGCUACACUAGUGGAAAAUGGGCCUUUGGCCGGGACCCUUUAUUCCCGGCCUGCCUCUGGGCCGGGACUAAAGGCCCUGCCACGUCGCCCCAAUUCUCAAUGCCUCCCUCGAGGCUUUAGUCCCGGCCCGUAAGGAUCCUUUAGUCCCGGUUCGUGUCCCAAACCGGGACUAAAGGGCUACGCGGUGGGCAGUGGUGGUGGCAACCGUUUGUAUCCCCCUUUAGUCCCGGUUGGUGGCUCAACCCGGGACUAAAGGCCUAACACGUGGCAUGCCGUAGUUCUGGCAACCGUUGGUAUACCUCUUUAGUCCCGGUUGGUGGCACGACCCGGGACUAAAGGCCCAAACGGUUUGCAUCCCGCGUCGUUUCGGGCGAUGAAAAGCACGAACCGAAGCAGAGUCGCCAUUUCUCUGUUUCUUCUUCCCUCUCGCUCUCGCUCUGUUCUUCUCCUCUCUUCUUCCCUUCUCUUCUUCCACCAUGCCAACUCGCUUUGGAGAGGUGCUCGCACAUGGCAAGACCAAGCUCGAUGCCGUGUACACGAACGAGAGCAGGGAGAUGCCGUAUUUUCUUGAACAGUUGAAGGAAUGAUGGCUUGACGCCGCAAUGGAUCAUGAGAAGUUCUUGGGGCUUGAUCUGGAGUACACGGCCGAUCAACGCGGUGUUGUCAUCAUCCAACUAUGCUUCGCACACCAUGUCUUGCUCUUCCAAUGGGCGAGGUAAGCUUUGAGGCUUUCUUUGAUCCAAGGUAAUGACAUUGUAAGUUUAUUUGUUUCAAUCAUAGUUGGUUCCCUUCAAAUAGUUGUAGUGAAACAAUUUUGAUUAGUUGAAGGGGAACACAAUCUGAUUGGAAUAGUGUUCCAUAAUCUGAAAAAAUCGUAUUAGAAUCAACUAGUGUUUAAUAUGUUCCAUUGGAAUCAUAGUUGGUUCGCUUCAAAUAGUUGUAGUGAAACAAUUUUGAUUAGUUGAAGGGAACACAAUCUGAUUGGAAUAGUGUUCCACAAUCUGAAAAAUCUGAUAGAUUGGUUCAAUAUUUUCCAUUGAAAUCAUAGUUGUAGUGAUACAAUUUUAUGCGGUGUUCUUUGAUCCAAGGUUAUGAAAAUUGCAUAUAGCUAGUGAUCUCUCUAGGUUCCAUUGGAUAGCAAUAUGAUAUGUCAUAGUCAUGAAAAUUGCAUAUCGCUAGUGAUCUCUCUAGGUUCCAUUGGAUAGCUAUAGUGAUCUCUCUAGGUUCCAUUGCAUAUGUUCUAUUUGAAUCCUAAAGAUAAUUUUCUCUUUAGUUGUAGUGAAACAUGUUUCCUUAUUGCAGCAGUAUGUAACAUUUGUUCCAUUUUAAUUUGUUUCUGUUGCAGUAGUGACAAGCAUUGUCCAGAACUCAUGGACUUCCUUCGCAGUGGCAUCACUUUUGCUACCGUUGACAUAACGAACGACAAGAUGAAGAUUAGGUACAACUUCGGUAUUGAGAUACCAACUGGUUGCCUCAUUGAUCUCCAAACGGUAUUCAGGCUUCGACAUGUCAGGACUUCGAUGGCUCAUAUGGCAGUUGCCUUGAUCGACGAGGAAUAUGGUGAUAUGAAGACCAAUUUCCCAAAGUCUCAGCACAAACUUUGGGAGAAGGCCCCACUUUAUCGUAUCAACAUUGAGUAUGCAGCAAAAGAUGCAUACGUUUCAUACAAGUUGUACCGCAAGAUUCGAGUCGUCAACUAUGGCCAGCGUCACCUUGAAUAAGGUGGACAUUCUGAUUCGAGUCGUCAACUAUGGCCAGCGUCGCCUCGAAUAUAUAUAUCUAUGAUAGCUAUUAUUGUGUACUGUUUGGACUAGUAUCAUGUACUGCUUGGACCAAUUUAUAUAUGUCUAGUUUCUGUUUGUGCCAUUAUAGUUUCCAAAUUUGAAUGGUUUAGCCCGUUCUAACUUCAUUUGCUACUUUUGAAUGGUUUAUCCCUUUCUAACUUCAUGGUAUCAUGCAUUUCGACCACAUAUAUAUACAAAAAGUCUUCAGUUCAAAUAAGUUCAAAAAAUGAAAUCCCUUUUGUAACAGAUCUGUUUUUCAUUAAAACAGUCAUUUAAAAAUGAAAGACCAUUAGUCCCACGUGGCGUGCAGCGGAAUCAUGUGGCGUGCAGCGGAACCACGUGGCGUGCCGCGGAACCACUUUUGUUGUGGGGGUCGCUUUUCCUUCUUCUCCUUGUGCUAGAUAUUUGUUAUGCAUUAGGGAAAAGGUAUGGUGGACUCGCUCUCCUUCUUCUCUUUGUGCUAGAUAUUUGUUAUGCACUAGAGGAAGAAGGAGUAGCGACCAUCAUCGACGGUCGAAAAAUCAGGUGAGGGAGUGUCCACCAUACAUGAGAGAAGAAGAAUGCCGACUGUUGUUGUGGGUGUUGCUUCUCCUUCUUCUCUUUGUGCUAGAUAUUUGUUAUGCACUAGAGGAAGAAGGAGUAGCGACCAUCAUCGACGGUCGAAAAAUCAGGUGAGGGAGUGUCCACCAUACAUGAGAGAAGAAGAAUGUCGACUGUUGUUGUGGGGGGUCGUUUCUCCUUCUUCUCCUUGUGCUAGAUAUUGGUUAUGCACUAGGGGAAGUAGGAGUAGCGACCAUCAUCGACGGUUGAAAAAUCAGGUGAGCUAGUGUCCACCAUAUAUGAGAGAAGAAGAAUGUACACCAUAUACCAUAGGUGAGCUAGUGUCUACCAUAUAUGAAAUUGUUGAAAUUUUGUGAUGUGCCUUUGAAUGGUGCAUUUUUAACACACAAAAAGUAUGCGGUUCAAAUAAGUUCAAGAAAAUGAAAUCCCUUUGUAAGAGAUGAGUUCUUGUUCGAAACGCUGACACUACGAGAGAGAUUGUCUGUUUUCUACACGAAGUGCAUCCAGUUUUUGUCGUAGCCCUCUCAACUUUUUAACACAUGCUAUGUGGGUGAAAUGAUUAUAGCAUGCCAAAUAUCAACAUUGUCAGAGUUCAUUUGUAGUGCUUUUCAAUUUCAGGGUCAAAUACCUCAAAAAAAAAGAGUUCAUGCACGAAGAAUACCAAAUGAAGUCAGAAAUUGUUGAAAUUUUUUGAUGUGCCUUUGAAUGGUGCAUUUUGAACACACAAAAUUUAUGGAGUUCAAAUAAGUUCAAAAAAAUGAAAUCCCUUUGUAAGAGAUGAGUUCUCGUUCGAAACGCUGAUACUUCGAGAGAGAUUGUCCGUUUUGUACACGAAGUGCAUCCAGUUUUUGUCGUAGCCCUCUCAACUUUUUAACACAUGCUAUGUGGGUGAAAUGAUGAUAGCAUGCCAAAUUUCAACAUUUUCAGAGUUCAUUUGUAGUGCUUUUCAAUUUCAGGGUCAACUACCUAAAAAAAUAAGUUAAUGCACGAGGAAUACCAAAUUAAGUCAGAAAUUGUUGAAAUUUUGUGAUGUGCCUUUGAAUGGUGCAUUUUGAACACACAAAAAGUAUGGAGUUCAAAUAAGUUCAAAAAAAUGAAAUCCCUUUGUAAGAGACGAGUUCUCGUUCGAAACGCUGAUACUUGGAGAGAGAUUGUCCGUUUUGUACACGAAGUGCAUCCAGUUUUUGUCGUAGCCCUCUCAACUUUUUAACACAAGCUAUGUGGGUGAAAUGAUGAUAGCAUGCCAAAUUUCAACAUUUUCAGAGUUCAUUUGUAGUGCUUUUCAAUUUCAGGGUCAACUACCUCAAAAAAAAUAAGUUAAUGCACGAAGAAUACCAAAUGAAGUCAGAAAUCGUUGAAAUUUUGUGAUGUGCCUUUGAAUGGUGCAUUUUGAACACACAAAAAGUAUGGAGUUCAAAUAAGUUCAAAAAAAUUAAAUCCCUUUGUAAGAGACGAGUUCUCGUUUGAAACGCUGAUACUUCGAGAGAGAUUGUCCGUUUUGUACACGAAGUGCAUACAGUUUUUGUCGUAGCCCUCUCAACUUUUUAACACAUGCUAUGUGGGUGAAAUGAUGAUAGCAUGCCAAAUUUCAACAUUUUCACAGUUCAUUUGUAGUGCUUUUCAAUUUCAGGGUCAACUACCUCAAAAAAAAAAUAAGUUAAUAGUUUGGAUAGUCAAAAUAAUUACUUUUGAAAAUAGAAAAUAGUUUUGCAUUAUUUAUUCAAUUUCAAACAGUUUUCAUUAUCAUAGUUUUUUCAAAUUCUCAAAUAUGCAAAAUGAAUUUUAAUAAACAUAGUUUUUAAUUGAAAAUCACAAAUUAUAUAAUAGUUUGGAUAGUCAAAAUAAUUACUUUUUAAAAUAGAAAAUAGUUUUGCAUUAUUUAUUCAAUUUCAAACANNNNNNNNNNNNNNNNNCAAAAUUAAUUUUAAUAAACAUAGUUUUUAAUUGAAAAUCACAAAUUAUAUAAUAGUUUGGAUAGUCAAAAUAAUUACUUUUUAAAAUAGAAAAUAUUUAUGCAUUAUUUAUUCAAUUUCAAACACUUUUCAUUAUCAUAGUUUUGUCAAAUUCUCAAAUAUGCAAAAAGAAUUUUUAAUAAACAUAGUUUUUAAUUGAAAAUAACAAAAUAGAUAAUAGUUUGGAUAGUCAAAAUUAUUAAUUAUGAAAAUAGAAAAUAGUUUUGCUAACAAAAUAGAUAAUAGUUUGGAUAGUCAAAAUUAUUAAUUAUGAAAAUAGAAAAAAUUGAAACUAUAUGAGAAUUUAUAGAGAAAAUUCAAUCUAAAUUCAAAGUGAACUCACUUUGAAUUCAGGUUGAAUUUUCUCCAUAAUUUCGAAUAUAGUUUCAAUUUUCAGUGAGUUUAGACCCGUAAGCCUGCUUUAGAGAGGAACUCGAUGGAGAAGCUGCGACGGGGCUUAUAAACAAGUGCUAGUCCCCCUCGCUGGGCGAGGUGGGACUAAAUUUAUCGUGCAGCCGAGGAGGGGCUGUAGUCCCGGGUGGAGCCACGCCCCGGGACUAAAGACACCCUUUAGUCCCGGUUGGAGCGCCGCGCCGGGACUAAAGGCCCCUGCUUCCCGCCUUCUGGUCUGCCGAAAAAGGGCCUUUAGUCCCGGGUCGUGGCUCCACCCGGGACUAAAGGGGGUCUUUAGUCCCGGAUCGAGCCCUCCACCCGGGACUAAAGGGUGUCUUUAGUCCCGGAUCGAGCCCUGAACCGGGACUAAAGAUCCACCUAUAUAAGCGGGAGUUAGAAAAUUUCCAACCCAAAUCGCAUUUCCUUCUCUCCUUAUUCCUCGUUCUCCUGCCCGGCGCGGCAUAGCAACGAACUCGACGACGCCGUCAGGCUGCCUGCCGUCCUGCUCGCCGCCGCCUGCCGUCGUCCUCGCCGUCGCCGUCAUCCUCCUCGCCGCCGCCGUCCUCCUCGCCGCGCGCCGCCGUCCUCGCUGCGCGCCGCGCCUUCCUCCUCGCCGCACGCCGUCGACACCUCCGGCCGGUAAGCCCCCGGCCCCCUCCUCCCCAACACUCCGGCCAGUAGAAGAAAAGAAGAAAAAGGAGAAGAAAAGAAGAAAAAGGAGAAGAAAGGAAGAAAAAGGAGAAUGAAGGAAGAAAAAGGGAAGAAAAGAAGAAAAAUAUUUUUUUUUCAUUUAAUUCCUAUUGUUAUUAGGUUUGUGCUAGAUUAUUAGGGUUAGUAAUAUUUAAAAUUAGGAAAAAGGAAAAUAAGAAGAGGAGGAGAAGAAAAGAAGAAAAAGGAGAAUAAGAAGAGGAGGAGAGGAGAAGAAGAGGAAAAAUAGAAGAAGAGAAGAAGUAGAAGAAGAGAAAAAAUUAGAAGAGGAGGAGAGGAGAAGUAGAAGAAGAGAAGAGGUGAAGUAGUAGAAGAAGAGGAGAAGUAGAACUAGAAGAAGAAGUAGAAGAAGAGGAGAAAUAGAAGAAGAGGAAAAAUUAGUUUAGGGUUACAAGAAGAAGAAAUAUUGCAUAGUGUAUAUGCUUAAGUGUUAAUAGUGUUUCUUAGAUUAUUGCUUAAUUUUGCUAUUGUAUAUGCUUAAGUGUUAAUAGUUUAAUUUUGCUAUUGUAUAUGCUUAAGUGUUAAUAGUUUAUUUUUAGCAAGAAAAUUAAUAGAACUAGUUUAAUUUUUUAGUUCAUUUUACGAUGCUUAUCCCGCAUCCUCGUCGUCGACUCGGCGGAGGACACCUGCUUGAUCAGAGGGGCCCUGUCCGGGACUGGGCUCCGCCCGGCUGGUAUUGGGAGGUGCUACCUUCCGGGGGGCGUAGGUUGGUGAGGAGCCAGCCCGUCGUUGACCCGAUCCUUGUUUGAUGGCGGUCGCGUGGGCCAGUGAGGGUGCCGAGGCUUCCGGACACCGCGGAGGUGGUACGUCACUGUGUCAGCGAGGAGGAUGAGCACGUCCGUCGCUACAUGGUUGCGUUGGAGGGCAGGUUCGAGCAUACCUGGCAGGUUCUUCGGGGAUCUCACUGGAGCUAUGAUCCUGUGAUGGUUCCUUCUUUUUGGGUGUCCACCGCCCGCGCCGAUACCCGUCGGACGCUACGAUUCUAGAUGUAUCAGUGAUGCUAUAUGUAUGAUAGUAUUCGAGGAGUAUUAGUGAUAAUAUUCGACGAUGUACGGCCAAAAGAGAUGAUGUAUUUGCUUAUAAUUGAAUGCAUGCUAAUUUGAAUACUACUUUAUUUUACGAUUUGGUUUUGAUUAUUGAAUGCUCAAAUUGGAACAGUACUCCUACUUUGAAUACUAUGCAGAAAUCUAGGAGUCCCGGGUGGAGCCACGACCCGGGACUAAAUGUGUUUUGGAACGGAGUUCCUGAUAGAAUAAUUCUUUUUUGGUACAAAGGUUAAGAGAAUCCAUUUUUUGCAGAACUAUGGAUCCACAUAUCAGGAACCUCGAAGAGGAAGAACUUCUCGAAGAUAUAAUCAAAGACGGCCCCGACGUUGAACCAGCUGAAUCUCCGUCGUCAUAUCUAAACCCCUCCGGAUAUGGAAUGGAGGUCGAGCGACACGAAGAUGAAGCCGAUGGGGCAGGAGAUAGGUCCAAUGACGGAGAAGGUGAUAGCUCCACUGAUGGAGAAGCCGGUGGAGAAGCCGGUGAAGAAAUAAUAAAGUCCGGCGAGGUAUACAUAUGAAGUUCGACAAUCACUUGUAAUAUGUGAAAAAUAUUGGAGAUAGCUCUAUAUUGUAUACAUAUACAUUCAUUUGACGAAUGUUUCUCCCUCUUAGGCCUCCACAUCCAGCAAAGCUACGAAACGAGGCCCGACUAGAAAGUUGGAUGCACGGACGCAUUACACCUUUGAGGUGAUAUUGCCUACGGGCGAACCCAAGCUUCCUAAGAAUGUUGCUGACACAUUCAAGAAGCAAUGCGGAGUUCUCGUUAGGGAUCACGUCCCGAUCAGCGUUCGGGAGUGGAACAAGCGCAAAGGGGCAGCCGAUAGUGACUAUGUCGCCGAAAGGUACAAAGAUAAUCUUUGGAAUGAUCUCAUGUCACAUUUCAACCUGCCAGAAUGUGAGAAUGAAGACGCCGCAGACAAACUGAGGGCCAAAGUCAAGCAGUGGACUCUAAUGAAAAACUUAGCAAAUCAUUAUCCUUGUCGGGCAGGGUUUGGAAGCUGUUCAAGUGCGUGACUCCCGGUAUCGAGCCUGAGAAGCUGACCUUUAGAGCGGCUCAGGUAAGUACUAGUAUGAUAUACUUCUAUUUUCAAUACAUUUAUGAUGCUAGAUUAUUAUUUUUGAUUAUAUAUAUUAUAUUCUCGUAAAGUGCGACCAGCAGCCACGGGGAACGCAUCUAUGCGGAUACUAUGUUUGCGAGACCAUUCGCACGUUUACCUCUGAGCACAAGGAUCACAGAUUCGACGUAAGCAAUGAACAUUCACACCUCUAUUUUUACCCGUCAUUCUUUGUUAUCAUGAUUGAUAUUCAUAUUCAUCUCCUCUUCUUAUAUAGUACACAGCCAUGAGGACGAAGGUCCUACCAGAGCAACGCGCGAUUGCUGUUGCAGAGGAGCUUGCGACCUUUCUGAGGACGGAAGCUAUAGAUGACAAAGGACGAUUUAGUAUAGCUAGGGGCCAUUACUGAUGUUCGUCCAUGUAAUCGAAUAGACGGGCUAUAGUCCUGAUAAUUCAGAUCUCCAUAUAAUUGUAUAUAUAUGCUCGCUUGUAAGAUAAGUUAAUCUUAUGUAUAUAUGCAUAAUUAUUUAUAUUUAAAUUAUAUGAAAACUAAUUCCCGAACACUAAACGAGGCAUCACGUUAAUCUCCCGAACACCUAAACCCUAAAACCCUAAAACCCAAAAAUAAUUUCAUUCAAAAAAACCCAAAAAUAAGAAAAAUCUGAAACUCUUUAGUCCCGGUCCGUGUAACGAACCGGGACUAAAGGUCCUGCCCCUGGGGCGCUACGAGGCGCCCACGUGGAGCACCUUUAGUCCCGGCUUGUAACAGGGCCGGGACUAAAGGUUAGGCCUUUAGUCCCGCCCCUUUAGUCCCGGUUGGUGAACCGGGACUAAAGCCCCUUACGGGCCGGGGCUAAAGGCCCCGUCCCCACUAGUGCUAGUUGGCUCCUCCGCACGGGCAUGUGCGGAGGGGUCAUGUCUAGCCUUCACACGCUUCUCCACCGGCAUAUCGACCCGGCUGGGGCGAGGCUGACCCACGGCGGCCUUCCCCGCAGCCGUGUCCCACCGGCGCUUGGACUCUAUCUCAAGCUCCCUCUGGGCAGCAUCAGCUGCUGCCCAGCCGGCCCGCUCGACUGCGGAGGCGGUGUCUUCAUCCACAUCCCCCGCCUCCCUGUCAAGCAAAGCUCCUAAGGAACAAAGCUCAUCCCAAAACGGGCAAAGGAAACGAGGAGGAAACCGUACCCCGCAACUACAGGGACCUGCCUCCGACCACCACCACGGCGCCUCUUGGCGCCGCCUGCUCCCUGCCCGGCUGGAGGACCCGGCGCCGGCUGCUGAGAGGCUGACCGGGAAGUUGUGGCACCCUUUCCCUUCUUCCCGGCUACCUCGUCAGCAGCGGUCGCCCCGCCACCUUGACGCCGGCCACGCGCCGGUGGUGGGCUGGUGACCUUCUCUACCUCAUCGAAGUUUUCCUCGAAGGCUACACUAGAACAGAAUGAGGCUACCUCCUCGUCGUCCGUCCAGUCUGCUAUGGAGUGCCGCGUAUACUCAGCAAACGGCUCGGUCCCUUCCGACUCCAGGGGAUCUUCCGAGCCGGCGGAGGAGUCUGAGAGGGGCUCCAUCGCGCCCUCGUCCUCAAUCUCGGAGGCGUCGUACACCUCCACAUCAGGAGCGUGUUGGAGAUAUGCCCUAGAGGCAAUAAUAAAUUAGUUAUUAUUAUAUUUCUUUGUUCAUGAUAAUCUUUUAUUAUCCAUGCUAUAAUUGUAUUGAUUGGACACACAAUACUUGUGUGGAUACAGAGACAAAACACUGUCCCUAGUAAGCCUCUAGUUGACUGGCUCGUUGAUCAAAGAUGGCCAAGGUUUCCUGGCCAUAGGCAAGUGUUGUUACUUGAUAACGGGAUCACAUCAUUAGGAGAAUCAUGUGAUGGACUAGACCCAAACUAAUAGACCUAGCAUGUUGAUCAUGUCAUUUUGUUGCUACUGUUUUCUGCAUGUCAAGUAUUUGUUCCUAUGACCAUGAGAUCAUAUAACUCACUCUAGUUGGCUCCUCCGCACGGGCAUGUGCGGAGGGGUCAUGUCUAGCCUUCACACGCUUCUCCACCGGCAUAUCGACCCGGCUGGGGCGAGGCUGACCCACGGCGGCCUUCCCCGCAGCCGUGUCCCACCGGCGCUUGGACUCUAUCUCAAGCUCCCUCUGGGCAGCAUCAGCUGCUGCCCAGCCGGCCCGCUCGACUGCGGAGGCGGUGUCUUCAUCCACAUCCCCCGCCUCCCUGUCAAGCAAAGCUCCUAAGGAACAAAGCUCAUCCCAAAACGGGCAAAGGAAACGAGGAGGAAACCGUACCCCGCAACUACAGGGACCUGCCUCCGACCACCACCACGGCGCCUCUUGGCGCCGCCUGCUCCCUGCCCGGCUGGAGGACCCGGCGCCGGCUGCUGAGAGGCUGACCGGGAAGUUGUGGCACCCUUUCCCUUCUUCCCGGCUACCUCGUCAGCAGCGGUCGCCCCGCCACCUUGACGCCGGCCACGCGCCGGUGGUGGGCUGGUGACCUUCUCUACCUCAUCGAAGUUUUCCUCGAAGGCUACACUAGAACAGAAUGAGGCUACCUCCUCGUCGUCCGUCCAGUCUGCUAUGGAGUGCCGCGUAUACUCAGCAAACGGCUCGGUCCCUUCCGACUCCAGGGGAUCUUCCGAGCCGGCGGAGGAGUCUGAGAGGGGCUCCAUCGCGCCCUCGUCCUCAAUCUCGGAGGCGUCGUACACCUCCACAUCAGGAGCGUGUUGGAGAUAUGCCCUAGAGGCAAUAAUAAAUUAGUUAUUAUUAUAUUUCUUUGUUCAUGAUAAUCUUUUAUUAUCCAUGCUAUAAUUGUAUUGAUUGGACACACAAUACUUGUGUGGAUACAGAGACAAAACACUGUCCCUAGUAAGCCUCUAGUUGACUGGCUCGUUGAUCAAAGAUGGCCAAGGUUUCCUGGCCAUAGGCAAGUGUUGUUACUUGAUAACGGGAUCACAUCAUUAGGAGAAUCAUGUGAUGGACUAGACCCAAACUAAUAGACCUAGCAUGUUGAUCAUGUCAUUUUGUUGCUACUGUUUUCUGCAUGUCAAGUAUUUGUUCCUAUGACCAUGAGAUCAUAUAACUCACUGACACCGGAGGAAUACUUUGUGUGUAUCAAACGUCGCAACGUAACUGGGUGACUAUAAAGAUGCUCUACAGGUAUCUCCGAAGGUGUUUGUUGAGUUAGUAUGGAUCGAGACUGGGAUUUUUCACUCCGUGUGACGGAGAGGUAUCUCGGGGCCCACUCGGUAAUACAACAUCACACACAAGCCUUGCAAGCAAUGUGACUUAGUGUAAGUUGCGGGAUCUUGUAUUACGGAAUGAGUAAAGAGACUUGCCGGUAAACGAGAUUGAAAUAGGUAAGCGGAUACUGACGAUCGAAUCUCGGGCAAGUAACAUACCGAAGGACAAAGGGAAUGACAUACGGGAUUAUAUGAAUCCUUGGCACUAAGGUUCAAUCGAUAAGAUCUUUGUACAGUAUGUAGGAUCUAAUAUGGUCAUCCAGGUCCCGCUAUUGGAUAUUGACCGAGGAGUCACUUGGGUCAUGUCUGAAUAGUUCUCGAACCCGCAGGGUCUGCACACUUAAGGUUCGACGUUGUUUUAUGCGUAUUUGAGUUAUAUGGUUGGUUACCGAAUGUUGUUCGGAGUCCCGGAUGAGAUCACGGACGUCAUGAGGGUUUUCAGAAUGGUCCGGAAACGAAUAUUGAUAUAUAGGAUGAAAUCACGGACGUCACGAGGGUUUCCGGAAUGGUCGGGAAACGAAGAUUGAUAUAUAGGAUGACCUCAUUUGAUUACCGGAAGGUUUUCGGAGUUACCGGGAAUGACGAAUGGGUUCUGGGUGUUCACCGGGGGGGCGGGGGGGGCAACCCACCCCGGGGAAGCCCAUAGGCCUUGGGGGUGGCGCACCAGCCCUUAGUGGGCUGGUGGGACAGCCCAAGAAGGUCCUAUGCGCCAUAGGAAGAAAAUCAAAGAGAAAAGAAAAAAAAGAGGAGGUGGGAAAAGGGGGAAGGACUCCUCCUUCCAAACCUAGUUGGAUUCGGUUUAGAAGGGGAGGACUCCCCCCCCUUGGCUCGUCCGAACCCCUUGGGGGUCCUUGGACCCCAAGGCAAGGCUCCCUGUCUUCCCCCUAUAUAUACGGAGGUUUUAGGGCUGAUUUGAGAUAACUUUGCCACGGCAGCCCGACCACAUAUCUCCACUGUUUUACCUCUAGAUCGCGUUUCUGCGGAGCUCGGGCGGAGCCCUGCUGAGAUAAGAUCACCACCAAUCUCCGGAGCGCCGUCACGGGCGGAGCCCUGCUGAGAUAAGAUCACCACCAAUCUCCGGAGCACCGUCACGCUGCCAGACAACUCAUCUACCUCUCCAUCUCUCUUGCUGGAUCAAGAAGGCCGAGAUCAUCGUCGAGUUGUACGUGUGCUGAACGCGGAGGUGCCGUCCGUUCGGCACUAGAUCGUGGGACUGAUCGCGGGACAGUUCGUGGGGCGGAUCGAGGGACGUGAGGAUGCUCCACUACAUCAACCGCGUUCACUAACGCUUCUGCUGUACGGUCUACAAGGGUACGUAGAUCGGAAAUCCCCUCUCGUAGAUGGACGUCACCAUGAUAGGUCUUCGUGCGCGUAGGAAAUUUUUUGUUUCCCAUGCGACGUUCCCCAAUAGUGGCAUCAUGAGCUAGGUUCAUGCGUAUAUGUCUUUUCGAGUAGAACACAAAAGUUUUUGUGGGCGGUGAUGUGCGUUUUUCUGCCCUCCUUAGUCUUUUCUUGAUUCUGCGGUAUUGUUGGAUUGAAGCGGCUUGGACCGACAUUACUCGUACGCUUACGAGAGACUGGUUUCAUCGCUACGAGUAACCCCGUUGCUCAAAGAUGACUGGCAAGUGUCGGUUUCUCCAACUUUAGUUGAAUCGGAUUUGACCGAGGAGGUCCNNNNNNNNNNNNNNNNNNNNNNNNNNNNNNNNNNNNNNNNNNNNNNNNNNNNNNNNNNNNNNNNNNNNNNNNNNNNNNNNNNNNNNNNNNNNNNNNNNNNGCCUUGGGACUCAAGGGAGCCCCAAGGGCGCCGACCGAAGGGGAGGAGGUGGACUCCCACCCCAAUUCGGUUUGGGGGAAGGAGUCCACUCCUUCCUUCCCACCUCCAUCUUUCCUUUUUUUCAUUUGGUAUUUUCCACUUGUGUCGCCAUGGCCCUAUUGGGCUGGCCUCACCAGCCCACUAAGGGCUGGUGCGCCACCCCCAAGGCCUAUGGGCUUCCCCGGGGUGGGUUGCCCCCCCCGCCCCCCCGGUGAACACCCAGAACCCAUUCGUCAUUCCCGGUAACUCCGAAAACCUUCCGGUAAUCAAAUGAGGUCAUCCUAUAUAUCAAUCUUCGUUUCCCGACCAUUCCGGAAACCCUCGUGACGUCCGUGAUUUCAUCCGGGACUCCGAACAACAUUCGGUAACCAACCAUAUAACAUUCCGAAAACCCUCAUGACAUCCGUGAUCUCAUCCGGGACUCCAAACAACCUUCGGUCACCAACACAUAUAACUCAACUAUACUAAAACAUCAUCGAACCUUAAGUGUGCAGACCCUGCGGGUUCGAGAACUAUGUAGACAUGACCCGAGACACUCCCCGGUCAAUAUCCAAUAGCGGGACCUAGAUGUCCAUAUUAGAUUCUACAUAUUCUACGAAGAUCUUAUCGGUUGAAUCUCUGUGCCAAGGAUUCAUAUAAUCCCGUAUGUCAUUCCCUUUGUCCUUCGGUAUGUUACUUGCCCGAGAUUCGAUCGUCAGUAUCCGCUUACCUAUUUCAAUCUCGUUUACCGGCAAGUCUCUUUACUCAUUCCGUAAUACAAGAUCCCGCAACUUACACUAAGUCACAUUGCUUGCAAGGCUUGUGUGUGAUGUUGUAUUACCGAGUGGGCCCCGCACACUUGAGUCACAUUGCUUGCAAGGCUUGUGUGUGAUGUUGUAUUACUGAGUGGGCCUCGAGAUACCUCUCCGUAAAACGGAGUGACAAAUCCCAGUCUUGAUCCAUGCUAACUCAACGGACACCUUCGGAGAUACCUGUAGAGCACCUUUAUAGUCAUCCAGUUACGUUGCGACGUUUGAUACACACAAGGUAUUCUUCCGGUGCCGGUGAGUUAUAUGAUCUCAUGGUCAUAGGAAUAAAUACUUGACACGCAGAAAACAAUAGCAAUAAAACGACACGAUCACAUGCUACGUUCAUUGUUUGGGUCUAGUCCAUCACAUGAUUCUCUUAAUGAUGUGAUCCAGUUAUGAAGUUACAACACUUGCAUAUGGUCAGAAAACCUUAACCAUCCUUGAUCAACUGGCUAGUCAACUAGAGACUUGCUAGGGACAUGGUAUAAUAUAAAGAGAAGCGUAGAUGCAAGNNNNNNNNNNNNNNNNNNNNNNNNNNNNNNNNNNNNNNNNNNNNNNNNNNNNNNNNNNNNNNNNNNNNNNNNNNNNNNNNNNNNNNNNNNNNNNNNNNNNGAUUUCCGGUCUUCUCCGGACGUUCGGUCGCUGUUCAAUUCACAAUAUUUUCAGUGAUAUCUACAGGCCUCGGACGACCGACCCCUGUUGGAUGUCCCACCCCUCGCGGACGCUCGGACAUCCGGAAACUAUCGGACGUCCGGACCCUGUGUGACUUAAAGUGUCCCCAACGGCUGUUUUUCUAUCCCCACUAUAAAUACCCCCUCCCACUUCGUGAGAGGGUUGCCCAACACAGCCUUAUCCUCAUAAGAACACACUUCUACCUCACACACAUUUNNNNNNNNNNNNNNNNNNNNNNNNNNNNNNNNNNNNNNNNNNNNNNNNNNNNUUCUACCUCACACACAUUUGCUCACACCAAAUCUUAGAUCCCAAGAGCAUUUGUGAGCCCCUUUGAGAGUUGUUCCAAUCAAAAGAUAGAUCGUCUCCCUCUCCUCCUCUCAACCCAAGCUAUUUGAGAUUUGAGCAAGUUUUGAGCAUUCCCCGUGAUCUUGUUACUCUUGGAGGUUGGAGACUCCUAGGCGGUAGGAGUUCUUCGGAGAGGAAUGAAUCCGUGUGAUUACCCCCCCGGAAAAGUUUGUGAGGGUUUGGAAGCCACCUCAAAGGCUUACCACUAGUGGUUGAGAAACGCCUUCAUGGUGUUAUCUCGAAGGGAGAAUAGGGCGAGCCUUCGUGGCGUUGGUGUGCCUUCGUGGUAACAUCCACCUCUCUAACGGUGACUAGCUUCCCUCCAAGGAAGUGAACAUCGGGAUACAUCUUUGUCUGAGUAACCUUGGUUAUCCUUAACCCUAACUCCUUACUUGUGGUUUACUUGUGUUACUUGAGCAUACAUACAUUGCAUAUUGUUUGUGCUCAUUAUAUUGUGUUGGCUAUUUCUUGUACAGGAUUAAUCAUUGAAGCAUACCCUCUAUAUCCACACAUUCAUACUUGCAACCUUUGAUAUAUCGUGUGAUAUAGUGUGAUCUAGUAUCUUGUGUUGUUCACCUACUUGUCGUGUGAUAUAGCUCAAGUAAGUUUGUGUAACUUACUUGUGCUUGUUAGUAACUGUAUUGUGUCCAUCUUGGUAGAUCGUGUUGUUGAUACACGUUGCAGUGCCUAGUGCAUUUAGGAUUUGUGCUUGACAAGUACCCUCUUAGUUUAUUUCCGCAUUAGUUUCAAGCCAAAUCCGAAGAAGUUUUUAAAUAGCCUAUUCACCCCCCCUCUAGGCGUCAUCGAGGUCUUUUCAAUUGGUAUCAGAGCUAGGUCUCUCUUUAAUUAGGUUUCACGACCUAGAGAGUAUCGAUGUCGACUAUUGGAUUAGUGCACAAUGGCACCUUUGACUUUAAUGGCACAAAUUAUACCCUAUGGAGAAUCCGUAUGCUUCAUCACUUUCGGGCCAUGGGCCCAAAUACUUUACGAAUUGUUCUUGUAGGGAUUGCCGACAAAAAGGAUGAUGCAUCUUCAUCUACUAAUGAAAUGUAUCUUUAUUGUGAGGCUUUUCUUGCCAUUCAUCGAACCAUAAGUCCUGAAGUGUUUAAGUCUAUCUCAACUUGCAAGUCAGCUCAUGAAGUUUGGACUAAACUUGAAGAUAUAUAUGGUGGGUACAAUCUUGAUGAAGACGGUAUUAUGAUGAAGGAGUUGGUGCAUGAGCUCUUCACUCUUUUCGAUCUUAAAGAGUCCACCACUACUUCCAUAUCCGAUUGCUUGCACACCUCAACAUCUUCAAUCUCACAAGGUAAUGACAUGGUGAGUGAAGAAAUAUAUGUUGAUGAAAAUGUCAUAGCCUCUAUGGACACGAGCAUAUCUAGCACCACACAUAGUGUAAAUUAUUGUGCUGAUAGGUCAUGCAUUUCACCUAACGAUCCCUCGACAAAUGUCUGUGGUGAUAUGCCUGCUUCCUCGUGUCCUCUUGAUCAAAAUAUCUUGUUUCUCCCUAGUUGCUCUAUGACUAAUCAUUUAGGGGAAAUCAAGAAAUAUGAAGUACUUUUGACUAAUGAAGAAUCUGAUUCACCAAAAGAAUCAUCAUCAACUCCUCUAGUUCACAUGUGCCUCAUGGCAAGAGGUAAUAAUGAGGUAUCAUCUUCCCUGUGCAAUAACGAUGAUAUUUGCGAUGAGGAUGAUGAUGAUGACUUGACUGAAAAUAUCUAUGUGAUCAGUAAAAUUCUUCAUAAAGCUAAAAAUAACGCUCUUCAAAGAUUCCAAGAUGUUCUUGCUUACUUUGAAAAUUGUAAUGAUUCACUUAAUCAUGAACAAGCUAAAAGUGAACAACUUGAACAUGAACUUGAGAAGAGUCAUCAAGCAUGUAGAGACUUAAGAUCUUCAAAAGGAGAGACUGAAGUUACUCAUGAUAAACUUAAAAAGGAUUUUGAGAUCCUUCUCCUUGAAUGCAAUAAUGUCAAGGGAGAGCUCAUCAAAACCUCUAAGAUCUACGAGGAGCUUCAAUCCACUCAUGAGAAGUCUCUAUUUUCUACUUACUCCUCUCAUAUUGUUGAUGAUACUUGUACAUCUAACUCUACCUCAUUUGAAGUAUCAACAUUGAAGGAGAAUAUUGAGCUACGUGCUCAACUUGAUUUACUAACUAGCAAUUAUGGGAAGUUGGGAGAAAACCAUGUAAUGCUCACAAGCUCUCAUGCUGAUCUUCUAACAUCCUAUAAUGUGCAAAGGUUAGCUCAUGAGGCUAUCAUCACCAAGGUAACAUCAAGUGAGCCUCAUGUGGACAAUGGCACUACUUCUAGUCAAAGUACUAUAUUUCCAUGUGCUAGUCCUCGUAAUUCGUCUACUCAUAAUAUUGCUACCUCGUGUGAUGAAUUACUUUCCUUGCCUUGUUGCUCUAACAUUGAAGCUUACACUUCCUCUAGUACUUGCAUUAAUACUAACCGUGCAGAGGAAAUCGAAGAGCUCAAGGCCCAAGUCACUUCUUUGAAGAAAGGCUUGGAACAGUGUCAUGAAGGGAUGUCCACACUCAACAACGUCCUGUGUGAGCAAACAUCUCCGAAUGACAAAAAUGAUGUUGGAGUAAACUCAAACAAGAACAAGAGGGGCCUAGAACAAGUCAAGAAUUCGGCCAAAAUCAUUUUCUUCAAGUGCAAAGUUAAAGGGCACCAUGUUAGAUCUUGCCCUCUGAAGACGAAGUCUCAAAGUCACAAGCAACAAGGGAAGCGGCCACAAACUCAAUCACAUAUUCAACUACAAGUUGAAGGAAGGCCUCUUCCCAAUAAGACCCAAGCCAACACUCCCCGAGGUGAGAAAUCAACUAGGAAGAAAGCAAAGGGUAGAUGUUGCUACUUAUGUCGUGAGAAGGGUCACGUCGCUUCGUCUUGCACAAGAGGUAACUUAUCCAACCCAAUCACUAUUGAUGAUAUCUAUUCCCUUGGGAAGGAUAAGGUUGGCAAUGUGUUUGCCAAGUCUGUUGGUACUCAAAAUGGUGUCAAGAAAAGAACCAUUUGGGUUGCCAAGCCUAUCAUACUAGCAGUGUUUGCCAAGUCUGUUGGUACUCAAAAUGGUGUCAAGAAAAGAACCAUUUGGGUUGCCAAGCCUAUUGUGAUUAACCUCUUAGGACCCAACGUAGUUGGGGACCAACAAGUUCAAACUUGAUCAAUAGGUGACUAUGGAGGACAUUAGAGACUUGGAUACAUAAUGAAGAAUUAAGGGGUCUUCAUCAUUCAUAUUAUCUCAAGCCAAGUCAUUUGGAUUAUCGAGUUUCUAUCUUAUAUCCAAUGUGCCUCCUUACGGUAACUUAUACUUAAACUGUUUACAUUGUUAGGUGCUUGCCCCUUUGCAUGUUGUGGUUUUGUACCUUGCAUGCGUUUGUAUAUGUUGUGCUANNNNNNNNNNNNNNNNNNNNNNNNNNNNNNNNNNNNNNNNNNNNNNNNNNNNNNNNNNNNNNNNNNNNNNNNNNNNNNNNNNNNNNNNNNNNNNNNNNNNNNNNNNNNNNNNNNNNNNNNNNNNNNNNNNNNNNNNNNNNNNNNNNNNNNNUUUUGUGUCUUCUUUGUAUUUUUGUUGGCUCUUGUGAGAGAUUAAUGGAUUAUCCCAUUGUGGGGGAGUGAUGUGCUUUGCACACCUCACAAUCCUAUAAAUGUGCAUACAUGGGGAAUACCACUUAGUUUUGAUAUUUCAAGAUUAUCUANNNNNNNNNNNNNNNNNNNNNNNNNNNNNNNNNNNNNNNNNNNNNNNNNNNNNNNNNNNNNNNNNNNNNNNNNNNNNNNNNNNNNNNNNNNNNNNNNNNNCUAAAGCAAUGGCACCAGUGUUGUCACAGAACAGAGUUAUUUGAUUUAGUGCGCUCGGCACAACUCCAAGAUCCGUCAUGAACUGCUUCAUCCAGACACCCUCCUUAGCUGCCUCCGAGGCAGCCAUGUACUCCGCUUCACAUGUAGAACCUGCUACAAUGCUUUGCUUGGAACUGCACCAGCUUACCGCACCCCCAUUAAGAAUAAAUACGUAUACGGUUUGAGACUUAGAGUCAUUCGGAUCAGUGUCAAAGCUUGCGUCGACGUAACCCUUUAUGACGAGCUCUUCGUCACCUCCAUAAACGAGAAACAUUUCCUUAGUCCUUUUCAGGUACUUCAGAAUAUUCUUAACCNNNNNNNNNNNNNNNNNNNNNNNNNNNNNNNNNNNNNNNNNNNNNNNNNNNNNNNNNNNNNNNNNNNNNNNNNNNNNNNNNNNNNNNNNNNNNNNNNNNNNNNNNNNNNNNNNNNNNNNGUGCACAACAUUGCAUACAUGAUAGAACCUAUGGCUGAAGCAUAGGGGACGGUACUCAUCUUUUCUCUAUCUUCCGCAGUUACUGGACACUGAGUCUUACUCAAUUUUAUACCUUGUAAUACUGGCAAGAACCCCUUCUUGGACUGUUCCAUUUUGAACUUCUUCAAAACUUUAUCAAGGUAUGUGCUUUGUGAAAGUUCUAUCAGGCGUCUCGAUCUAGCGCUAUAGAUCUUAAUGCCUAGAAUGUAAGCAGCUUCUCCUAGGUCCUUCAUAGAGAAACUUUUAUUCAAGUAAUCCUUUAUGCUGUCCAAAAGCUCCACGCCGUUUCCAAUCAGUAAUAUGUCAUCCACAUAUAAUAUUAGCAACGCCACAGAGCUCCCAUUCACUUUCUUGUAAAUACAGGAUUCUCCAACCACCUGUAUAAACCCAAAUGCUUUGAUCACCUCAUCAAAGCGUUUAUUCCUACAAGAUUCUCCAACAACUUGUAUAAACCCAAAUGCUUUGAUCACAUCAUCAACGCGCUUAUUCCAACUCCGAGAUACCUGCACCAGUCCAUAAAUGGAUCCCUGAAGCUUGCAUACUUUGUUAGCAUUCUCUGGAUCGACAAAACCUUCGGGUUACAUCAUAUACAACUCUUCCUUAAGAAAACCGUUAAGGAACGCCGUUUUGACAUCCAUCUGCCAAAUUUCAUAAUCGAAAAAUGCAGCUAUUGCUAACAUGAUUCGGACGGACUUAAGCAUCGCUACGGGUGAGAAUGUCUCAUCGUAGUCAAUUCCUUGAACUUGUGAAAUACCCUUUGCCACAAGUCGAGCUUUAUAAACGGUCACAUUACCGUCAGCGUCCGUCUUCUUCUUAAAGAUCCAUUUGUUCUAAAUAGCCUUGCGGCCUUCAGGUAGUACUUUCACUUUACCGUCCGCGUUUGUCUUCUUCUUAAAGAUCCAUUUGUUCUGAAUAGCCUUGCGGCCUUCAGGUAAUACUUCCAAAGUCCACACUUUGUUUUCAUACAUAGAUCCUAUCUUGGACUUCAUGGACUCUAGCCAUUUGUUGGAAUCCGGGCCCACCCUUGCUUCUUCAUAAUUUGCAGGUUCAUUGUUGUCUAACAACAUGAUUGAUAAGACAGGAUUACCGUACCACUCAGGAGCAGUACGUGAUCUUGUAGACCUACAAGGUCCGAUAGGAACUUGAUAUGAAGUUGCAUGAUCAUCAUCAUUAACUUCCUCCUCAACCGGCGUCGCUUCGACAGAGGUUUCCCCUUGCCCCGCGCCACCAUCUUGAGGGAUUAGAGGUUCGACAACCUCAUCAAGUUCUACCUUCCUCCCACUCAAUUCUUUCGAGAGAAACUCCUUCUCAAGAAAAGCCCCGUUCUUANNNNNNNNNNNNNNNNNNNNNNNNNNNNNNNNNNNNNNNNNNNNNNNNNNNNNNNNNNNNNNNNNNNNNNNNNNNNNNNNNNNNNNNNNNNNNNNNNNNNACGAGAAACAUCUCCUUAGUCCUUUUCAGGUACUUCAGGAUAUUCUUGACCGCCGUCGAGUGAUCCACUCCUGGAUUACUCUAGAACCUGCCUCCCAUACUUAUGGCGAGGCUAAUGUCCGGUCUAGUGCACAACAUUGCAUACAUGAUAGAACUUACGGCUGAAGCAUAGGGGACGGAACUCAUAUGCUCUCUAUCUUUAUCAGUUGCUGGGCACUGAGUCUUACUCAAUCCCAUACCUUGUAAAACUGGCAAGAACCCCUUCUUGGACUGUUCCAUUUUGAACCUCUUCAAAACUUUAUCAAGUUCGUGCUUUGCGAAAGUCCUAUCAGGCGUUUUGAUCUAUCCCUAUAGAUCUUUAUGCCUAGAAUGUAAGUAGCUUCUCCUAGGUCCUUCAUAGAGAAACUUUUAUUCAAGUAAUCCUUUAUGCUGUCCAAAAGCUCCACGCCGUUUCCAAUCAGUAAUAUGUCAUCCACAUAUAAUAUUAGGAACGCCACAGAGCUCCCACUCACUUUCUUGUAAAUACAGGAUUCUCCAACCACCUGUAUAAACCCAAAUGCUUUGAUCACCUCAUCAAAGCGUUUAUUCCAACUCCGAGAUGCUUGCACCAGUCCAUAAAUGGAUCGUUGGAGUUUGCACACUUUGAUAGCAUUUUUAGGAUCGACAAAACCUUCGGGUUGCAUCAUAUACAACUCUUCCUUAAGGAAACCGUUAAGGAACACCGUUUUGACAUCCAUCUGCCAGAUUUCAUAAUCGAAAAAUGCAGCUAUUGCUAACAUGAUUCGGACGGACUUAAGCAUCGCUACGGGUGAGAAUGUCUCAUCGUAGUCAAUUCCUUGAACUUGUGAAAUACCCUUUGCCACAAGUCGAGCUUUAUAAACGGUCACAUUACCGUCAGCGUCCGUCUUCUUCUUAAAGAUCCAUUUGUUCUAAAUAGCCUUGCGGCCUUCAGGUAGUACUUCCAAAGUCCACACUUUGUUUUCAUACAUAGAUCCUAUCUCAGACUUCAUGGCCUCCAGCCAUUUGUUGGAAUCCGGGCCCACCAUUGCUUCUUCAUAAUUCGCAGGCUCAUUGUUGUCCAACAACAUAAUUGAUAAGACGGGAUUACCGUACCACUCUGGAGUAGUACGCGGUCUCGUCGACGUGUGAGGUCCGACAGGAACUUGAUUUGGAGUUUCAUGAUCAUCAUCAUUAACUUCCUCCUCAACCGGUGUCGCAGCGACACGGGUUUCCCCUUGCCCUGCGCCACCAUCCAGAGGGAUGAGAGGUUCGACAACCUCAUCAAGUUCUAUCUUCCUCCCACUCAAUUCUCUCGAGAGAAACUCCUUCUCGAGAAAAGCUCCGUUCUUAGCAACAAACACUUUGCCCUCGGAUUUGAGAUAGAAAGUAUACCCAACUGUCUCUUUUGGGUAACCUAUUGUAACGACCAAGAUGCGGUCCUUUCCGAUCUGGGGAUCGAGGCCCCGAAUUGGAAAGGAGCGCAUCUAAGCAUCUCGCAAACAGGUAACACAGCACAUACAUAAUAAUAAAGAUAGACAAUCAGGGAUUCAAUUGCCUUCUCAUAAUAAUCUCAGAGUACAUCACACAUACAACCAAGGUAGUUCCGCUACGGACUACAAAACAUAGAAAGGCUAUGCUACCCUGCCUGCAGGCCCAUGAUCACGACCAUGCCUCAAUCUUCUGGAUAGUUCACGUAAAGGCAGUCUGUCUCCUCGUCGUACUGCCACGCCAGCUGAGUGCCAUCGGGAUCAUCUGUCUCUGGGGUACCUGAACCUGUUGGGAUUUUGGAGGAAUCCGUGAGCCAUGGGGACUCAGCAAUCUAAUACCUUGGUGCCAGAACUAGUCAAGUUAUUAGGUCAGAUAAGGUGAAGUGUUUAAGGUUGCAUCAUCCAAAGCUUGAUUUGGUGGCUAACUUACGUAAGCAUUUAAGAAGGUGGUCUAUACUAGCAGUCGUGAAUACUUGAUCACUAAGUGAUCGUGAACACCUACCUACGUCAUUCAUAACCCCACCGUGUUCCCGGUCAAAGAGAGAUCCUCGAGGGGACAGUCACUGUUACGCACACAGUUGGCAAUUUUAUUAGCUUUUGUUUAAGUUAUCUAAUACCGGAUGUUAACAAGAUAUUCCAAGUUGCCACAUAACCGCGGGCACGGCUUUCCAAAAGAUUAAACCCUGCAGGGGUGCUCCAACUAGUCCAUCAUAAACAUACACAGGCCGCAAAGUAAUCCUCUAUCACAAAUCUCGUGAUCUCGUCGGAUUCCUUAGAGGAAAACCUCAACUCUGGGGGAAACCAAAGUUUCACUGGAAUUCCUAUACGCAAGAUAUAUCGCUAAGGUAAGGCAAGACUAGAAGGACCUCCCGACGUGUCGACGACCUUGAUAAGAGCCGCGUAUCUAAGUCUCAGGACACACCGGAUGAGCUACGCGCACGAUGGCCUGAUAGAAAUCACUCAAGUUGCCCUGAGUUGGCCCCGAGCAGUGCCCAGUUUGGACCAACACUCAUGAGGAGCACUGGCCCAGGUUGUUGAUUAAAUUCCUCGGGGUAGCUACUCCCUAUGCAGAUUAUUAUUAAGUGAUUAGCAAAUUAACACCAAUGUUGGGUCCUGCCGGACAAGCCUUAGCACUACGCGAUUUAUCGAGGGGGUCCCCAUAACAACCCCGAACGUGUUAGGAGCGAUCAAUAUGGAAUCAAACACCGGUAGCCGGUAACUAUGGCGGCAAUAACGGAACAAGCACCCGGCAAAAGGCUAGGCCUUCCGUCAUUUACCAAGUAUAUAGGUGCAUUAAUUGAAUAACAGAAUUUAAGAUAAUGAUAUCAAGCUCAUGUUGUCACAUGAGACAAAGCACCUGCAUCUAGCAACGCUAACAUUAGUAGCUGAGCAAAGCCUACUUAGCCAUUCAAGUUUGCUAGGAAGGGAUCAGUGUUUGGGUUCAUGGCAUAUCAAGAGGAAAAUAUUUCAGUGGUAGGCAGCGAGCAAUAUCACAUGGAAACGCAAACUAGCAUAACAAGUCUAGAGAUGGAAUCAAGGUCAUAUCAUCUUGCCUGUGAUAUCCUCAGCUUGGAAUGGUUCUUGUUCGUCCUGCACGUACUCUCCCGAAUCCACGUACUCGUUCUAUGAUCUCGGUGCUACCCAACAUAAUAAUAACAUCCAAUGAACAACAGCACCUCAAGAUGCAACAAGUACAUGAUGCAUGAGAUGAAAAAUGAGCAUGCAUCACUAUUUCUAUCACUAGCACAAGCAAAAGAAGCUAAUACAAGUUCCUGGACAGAACUGUACCCUAAGCUAUUUUGACAUGCAUGAGAUUGACAUGAUCAGAUGCGUCUCGAGAAAUUGAUGCAAAACCAUAUAAAGAACAUUACAAUCGGAGCUACGGAUCAACCGGAAUCAACGAAACAAGAUAUGAAGCCCUACGUGUGAAAAUCUACACCACACACUCAAAUGGCACAAAUCUGGUAUUCCCAGGUUGCUAAGACAUACAACAACCCAACAUGAAUGGAUUGGAGCAAGGAAGAACACCACAUCAGCAACUAAGCACUCACAAACACCAAAAUGACAAAACUACACAAUCUGCCAUAAUCUGCAUCUUAGCACUUUGUGAGCUACAUGCAACAUAGCUACAGCCCUCCAAGAAUACUACAAGCACAAGCAAGAAUCACACCAAAAGGAAUUAAGCACAGAAAGAUACAAGGAUGCAAACUUUCCCAAAACCAUCAGAUCUCAGGGACUUAGUGAAAAUUCGUGCACCUGACUUUCUGUCUUUGUUCUGAAGCCUAUUGACAGCAGCCAAAACAUAACCUACAGGACUCCAAAUGGGAUGACAUUUAACAGGGAGCUUCACAAACAUAUCAGGUCCAAAUUCCUGGCACUAAACUAAGGCUAGAUCACAACACAAUGACCAGCACAACCUCCUCUACAGGGGAAGAAAAAAUAACCAGAUUCUCAAACUUAGUGAAAAUCUCAGAUUUUCACUAAUCUGGAAUUUCCAGCCACAUGCCCACUUUGUCUAGGCAUAACUUGCACACAAGUAACACAAAGAGAUAAAUGACACCACUAUGGUGUAGAGCAAAACCCCUACUACUACCACACAAAAGCUCAUGCCCAUGGGCUCAACCUAUUCCAUGGAAACAAAGAGCAAACUUGCAACACAUCUGAAUAUGUCAACUCCAGAAAGUAUCCUAAUGGCAAAACUAACUUCACCACUGGAUUCCUUGGGAGAUUCUACCCCAAAAUCAUAUAUGAUAUGUGGGCACUUACUUGGAACAAGUGACCACAAAUUAAGGAAGAGGAAACUACUCCAAAUCAUGCCUAGUGAUUAGUGCAUCAUUUCAUGUAGUUUCACUAUAUCAACUACUACAUGGUUGAGCUCAUGUGCACAAUGACAAAGUGACAUGCGGGUUUGAACCCCAUGUUUGUGUCAUGCACAUAAACUUCACAACCACUUCUACCAAGCUAUCCACACAAACAAAACACCAUGCCCUCUCACAUAUGGUCAUCUGAAGGUGCAAAGCUUGCUUGCAAAGGUGGAAUGCUUCUCACACACACAUCUACUCCACAUCACCCACAAGCACAUCAUGCUCUAGAUCAACACACAUACCUACACAUGCUAAACAUAUCUUGCAUCACAUGGCAAACAUACACACAUCAUAACCCUCAUAAGAUGCACUUACACAUGAAACUCUAGUGCAUCACACACAACAAAAUGGUAUGCUUGCAAUUCCUCCAGUAUAGAAUAACCUCCACAAGACUACUACCAGUUGAAUAUGCACACACACAAGUGCAUCACCAAGGGUUCACAUAACUAGCAAACUACCACACUCACUUGCUGGUCUGAGAAGGGAAAAAAAUAUAAGGCUCUCAUGAGCAAGCACACCACAAUGCUAUAAAGAACAGGGCUGCAAGUAACUAAAACAACAAAGGAAGAAAUAAAAAUAAUAGAACAUAGAAAAAGAUAAGGGGUAGUCUCUGGGUUCGAACCCGAGACCUACUGGUACUGCACAUGGGUGCAAACCACCCUGCUGUGCCUAUUCGCUCGACAGAACAGAGCAGUUUAACAAGGUAACUAUGCUGCUGCGCUCUCUACUGUGCCGAGGAAAUAAAUCAAACAAAAAGGGCUGCCGAGGGGGGAUCGAGCCCACGACCUCACAACAGGCACAACAACACGCUACCACUACGCUAUGAAUCGGAAGACUGGCAGAGGGGAGGGCUAAACCGAGAUAGGUUAGCACCUCAACUGAAUCUACUCUGCACCUGCGCGUUUACUACUGCUCGCCGGCGACAGGAACGCUGAGUUAAGCUACUGCUGCUACUGCGCACGAAGGGCACCAUCUACUGCUGCUGCUCGACGGCUACGCCUCGCUAGCCUCCGCAUGCCUCGCCACUACACGAACACGCUCUCAAGAACACAGGCACACACGAAUCCCCACGGUCUACUUCCUGACAGAGAAAGCUCCGGCGAGCACUACCUCGGAUCUAAGACGGAACCAUGGUGGAAGAAGGAAGGGGAGGUGAUCCUCCCCUGGGGGAGGAAGAAGGGGUUCGGUAUGUGGAGGAAGAAGCGCCAGAGGGGAAGAAGACCGACAACGAAGAAGUUCCUGAUCUGCAGAACCAAAGUAGGGGAAGGAGCACUGGGAACUCGCCGUUGACGUGGUCGGGGCCGUCGGUGCAGUCGAUCCCCGGGGCUCCUAGCGCCGGGAAUGGAUCACGGGGAUCCACCCCGAGCUCCCGGACAUGGCGACGAUGACGAACGGAGAUGGGAGCGUGGCGGAUGCCGGCGAGGAGCUGCUCUCUCUCGGGUACCCUAACCUACAGAGCCUUACCGAGGGGAGGAAGAAGGAGAUGGGGAAGAAGAUGGUGGCGGCGGCAGGAGGGAAUGGAGAGGAACCCUAGGCGAGGGGGGGGGCACAGACGCCCAGGUUAUAUGGGGCCCCUUGACGUUUGUGCAACGGCGUCAUGUCUCUCUGUCUCUCGGCUACUGACGGAAAGAAGCAGAGGGGUGCAGACGGCGUUAGGAGGAGGACGAAAGGCGGAUGGGCCACGUGCGCGAGGGAGGAAGGGAAAGGGCCGCCAGGGAGAGGGAGCCCACUGGCGCUAUUUAGACAGAAAAGAAAAACCUGGGCUACUUCUAUUUAAAAGAAAGACCAGAAAGGAAAAAUAAUACAAGGCAAAAACUACUGGGAUAAAUUCAAAAGAAAAUACCCCCUGGUCAUAUAAAAAUAUGACCUAUUUAAAUAAAAUAAGAUCAAGAUUUUUAGGAGCAGAUAAUAUUUCACAAAACAGAAUUAAUGCCUCUGUUUUGUUCUUAUUGCACCUGCUUUCAACACUUUUAAAAACACCAAACUAUCACAACUUCACACUCACAAUAAUCCCUAAACAUUGGACAUUUUUAAAACAGGGAAGGAAGGAGUGAAUCUUGACUUUAAGAAAAAAAUAGAGAGGGAGGGAGGAUGGUUUGAAACCUAAGCAACUUACUAUCACAUGCACUCAUAGUAGCCCCUCAACAUACACACAAGAACACAUGCAACACUAGGUAGCUAACCACAAGAUCACCACACCACAUGAAAUGCUAAGAUCAUAUAGCAACAACACAAGUCAAGGGCAUGCAAUGAUAUGCUAUGCAUGCAUGCAUGAGAAGGAAGUAGUAAGGAACACACAUGGAAUCAUGGUACCAAAUAUAACAUCAUAAUCUCUGACAAGGUGGACCCAGUGCAAUAGGUUCCAAAUAGGGAUGGUUUACAUCUGGGGCACUACACCUAUGAAUACACACUUUUCCGCUUUGGGUUCCAGCUUUUCAGGCUGAAGCUUUUUGACAUUAGCAUCACAUCCCCAAACUUUAAGAAACGAUAACUUUGGUCUUUUGCCAUACCACAACUGAUAUGGUGUCGUCUCAACGGAUUUUGAUGGUGCCCUAUUUAAAGUGAAUGCAGCUAUUUCUAAUGCAUAACCCCAAAACGAUAAUGACAAAUCGGUAAGAGACAUCAUAGAUCGUACCAUCUCUAAUAAAGUACGAUUACGACGUCCGGACACACCAUUGCGCUGUGAUGUUCCAGGCGGUGUCAACUGUGAAGCAAUUCCAUAUUGUCUUAAGUGAGCACCAAACUCGAAACUCAGAUAUUUACCCCCACGAUCAGACCGUAGGAACUUGAUCUUCUUGUUAUGAUGAUUUUUGACUUCACUCUGAAAUUGUUUGAACUUUUCAAAUGUUUCAGACUUGUGCUCCAUCAAGUAGACAUAACCAUAUCUACUCAAAUCAUCAGUGAAGGUGAGAAAAUAACGAUAUCCGUCGCGUGCCUCCACACUCAUGGGACCACACACAUCGGUAUGUAUGAUUUCCAACAAGUCACUUGCAUGCUCCAUUGUUCCGGAGAACGGAGUUUUAGUCAUCUUGCCCAUGAGGCAUGGUUCGCACGUGUCAAGUGAAUCAAAGUAAAGUGACUCCAAAAGUCCAUUGGUAUGGAGUUUCUUCAUGUGCUUUACACCAAUAUGACCUAAGCGGUAGUGCCAUAAAAACAUGGCGCUAUCAUUGUUAACUCUAAAUCUUUUGGUCUCAAUGUUAUGUAUAUGUGUAUUAUCACUAUCAAGAUUCAAUAUGAACGUUCCUCUCACAUUGGGUGCAUGACCAUAAAAGAUAUUACUCAUAGAAAUAGAACAACCAUUAUUCUCUGACUUAGACGAGUAACCGUCUCGCAAUAAACAAGAUCAAGAUAUAAUGUUCAUGCUUAACGUAGGCACUAAAUAACAUUUAUUUAAGUUCAUAACUAAUCCUGAUGGUAACUGAAGUGAAAUUGUGCCGAUGGCGAUUGCAUCAACCUUGGAACCAUUUCCCACGCGCAUCAUCACUUCAUCCUUCGCUAGCCUUCGCUUAUUCCGCAGCACCUGUUUCGAGUCACAAAUAUGAGCAACAGAACCGGUAUCGAAUACCCACGCACUACUACGAGAGCUGGUUAAGUACACAUCAAUAACAUGUAUAUCGAAUAUACCUGAUUUUUCUUUGGCCGCCUUCUUAUCAGCUAGAUACUUGGGGCAGUUGCGCUUCCAGUGACCCAUACCCUUGCAAUAAUAGCACUCCGUUUCAGGCUUAGGUCCAGCUUUGGGUUUCUUCGUCGGAUUGGCAACAGGCUUGCCACUCUUCUUUGAAUUACCCUUCUUUCCUUUGUCGUUGCUCUUGAAACUAGUGGUCUUAUUCACCAUCAACACUUGAUCCUCUUUACGGAGUUGUGACUCUGCGACUUUCAGCAUCGCGAAUAACUCGCCGGGUGACUUGUUCAUCCCUUGCAUGUUAUAGUUCAACACAAAGCCCUUAUAGCUUGGUGGCUGUGAUUGAAGAAUUCUAUCAGUGAUAGCCUCUUGCGGGAGUUCAAUCCCCAGCUCAGCUAGACGGUUUGAGUACCCAGACAUUUUGAGCACAUGUUCACUGACAGACGUGUUUUCCUCCAUCUUGCAAGCAUAGAAUUUAUCGGAGGUCUCAUACCUCUCGAUCCGGGCAUUCUUCUGAAAGAUAAACUUCAACCACAGACGAGUUCUCCUCCAUCUUGCAAGCAUAGAAUUUAUCGGACGUCUCAUACCUCUCGAUCCAGGCGUUCUUCUGAAAGAUAAACUUCAACUCCUAGAACAUCUCAUAUGCUACAUGAUGCUCAAAGCGACGUUGAAGUCCCGACUCUAAGCCAUACAAGACUGCACAUUGAACUACUGAGUAAUCCUCCUUGCGUGCUAACCAAGCGUUCUUAGCAUCUUGGUUAGCUGCGGCGGGUGGUUCAUCUCCUAACGCAGCAUUAAGGACAUAAUUAUUCUUCCCAGCUUGCAGGAGCAACUUAAGAUUACGAGCCCAGUCUACAAAGUUGCUUCCAUCAUCUUUCAACUUAGCUUUCUCUAGGAACGUAUUAAAAUUUAGGGUGACUGUCGCGUGAGCCAUUGAUCUACAACACAAAUAUUUUCAAAGUGGACUUAGACUAUGUUCAAGAUAAUUAGAGUUUAAUUAAUCAAAUUACUUGCUAAACUCCGACUCAAAAAGUACAUCUCUCUAGUCCUUUGAGUGGUUCAUGAUCCAAUUCCACUAGCUCAAGUCUGAUCAUCACGUGAGUUGAGGAUAGUUUCAGUGGUAAGCAUCCCUAUGCUAAUCAUAUCAACUAUAUGAUUCAUGAUCGACCUUUCGGUCUCAUAUGUUCUGAGGCCAUGUCUGCACAUGCUAGGCUCAUCAAGCUUAACCCGAGUGUUCCGCGUGUGCAACUGUUUUGCACCCGUUGUAUGUGAAUGUUGAGUCUAUCACACCCGAUCAUCACGUGGUGUCUCGAAACGACNNNNNNNNNNNNNNNNNNNNNNNNNNNNNNNNNNNNNNNNNNNNNNNNNNNNNNNNNNNNNNNNNNNNNNNNNNNNNNNNNNNNNNNNNNNNNNNNNNNNUACAACAUGAUCAUCUCAUACAUCCAAUAUAUCACAUCACAUCGUCGGCCAUAUCACAUCACAAGCAUACCCUGCAAAAGUUAGUCGUCCUCUAAUUGUUGUUGCAUGUUUUAUGUGGUGGCCAUGGGUAUCUAGUAGGAUCGCAUCUUACUUACGCAAAUACCACAACGGGGAUGUAUGAAUUGCUAUUUAACCUCUCUGCAAGGACCUCCUCGGUCAAAUGCGAUUCAACUAAAGUUGGAGAAACUGACACUCGCCAUUCAUCUUUGAGCAACGGGGUUGCUCGUAGCGAUGAAAACAGUCUCUCGUAAGCGUACGAGUAAUGUCGGUCCGAUCCACUUCGAUCCAACAAUACCGCGGAAUCAAGAAAACACUAAGGAGGGCAGCAAAUCGCACAUCACCGCCCAAAAAAAACUUUUGUGUUCUACUCGAGAUGACAUCUACGCAUGAACCUAGCUCAUGAUGCCACUGUUGGGGAACGUCGCAUGGGAAACAAAAAAUUUCCUACGCGCAUGAAGACCUAUCAUGGUGAUGUCCAUCUACAAGAGGGGAUUUCCGAUCUACGUACCCUUGUAGAUCGCACAGCAGGAAGCGUUAAGAAACGCGGUUGAUGUAGUGGAACGUCCUCACGUCCCUCGAUCCGCCCCGCGAACUAUCCCCGAACCGUCCCGCGAUCCGUCCCACGAUCCGCUCCGAUCUAGUGCUGAACGGACGACACCUCCGCGUUCAGCACACGUACAGCUCGACGAUGAUCUUGACCUUCUUGAUCUAACAAGAGAGACGGAGAGGUAGAUGAGUUCUCCAACAGCGUGACGACGCUCCGGAGGUUGGUGGUGAUCUAUUCCAGCAGGGCUCCGUCCGAGCUCCGCAGAAAUACGAUCUAGAGGAAAAACCGUGGAGGUAUGUGGUCGGGCUGCCGUGGCAAAGUUGUCUCAAAUCAGCCCUAAUACCUCAGUAUAUAUAGGAGGGAGGGGGAGGGCCUUGCCUUGAGGCUCAAGAGAGCCCCAAGGGGUCGGCCGAACUAGGGGUGGAGGAGUCCACCUCCAAUCCUAGUCCAACUAGGAUUGGAAGGUGGAGUCCUCCCCUUCCUUCCCACUUCCCCUUUUUUUUCUCUUUCAUUUGAUUUCUUGAUCUCCUGCGCAUAGGGCCUCUUGGGCUGUCCCACCAGCCCACUAAUGGCUGGUGCGGCACCCCUAAGGCCUAUGGGCUUCCCCCGGGUGGGCUGCCCCCCCGGUGAACAUCCGGAACCCAUUCGUCACUCCUCGUACAUUCCCGGUAAUGCCCGAAAACUUUCCGGUAAUCAAAUGAGGUCAUCCUAUAUAUCAAUCUUUGUUUUUGGACCAUUUCGGAAACCCUCGUGACAUCCGUGAUCUCAUCCGGGACUUCGAACAACAUUCGUUAACCAACCAUAUAACUCAACUACGCAUAAAACAUCACCGAACCUUAAGUGUGUAGACCCUGCGGGUUCGAGAACUAUGUAGACAUGACCCGAGGGACUCCUCGGUCAAUAUCCAAUAGCGGGACCUGGAUGCCCAUAUUGGAUCCUACAUACUCUAUGAAGAUCUUAUCGAUUGAACCUCAGUGCCAAGGAUUCAUAUAAUCCCGUAUGUCAUUCCCUUUGUCCUUCAGUAUGUUACUUGCCCGAGAUUCGAUCGUCAGUAUCCGCAUACCUAUUUCAAUCUCGUUUACCGGCAAGUCUCUUUACUUGUUCCAUAAUACAAGAUCCCGUGACUUACACCUCUAUGAAGAUCUUAUCGAUUGAACCUCAGUGCCAAGGAUUCAUAUAAUCCCGUAUGUCAUUCCCUUUGUCCUUCAGUAUGUUACUUGCCCGAAAUUCGAUCGUCAGUAUCCGCAUACCUAUUUCAAUCUCGUUUACCGGCAAGUCUCUUUACUUGUUCCAUAAUACAAGAUCCCGUGACUUACACUAAGUCACAUUGCUUGCAAGGCUUGUGUGUGAUGUUGUAUUACCGAGUGGGCCCCGAGAUACCUCUUCGUCACACGGAGUGACAAAUCCCAGUCUUGAUCCAUACUAACUCAACGGACACCUUCGGAGAUACCUGUAGAGCAUCUUUAUAGUCACCCAGUUACGUUGUGACGUUUGAUACACACAAGGCAUUCCUCCGGUGCCAGUGAUUUAUAUGAUCUGAUGGUCAUAGGAAUAAAUACUUGACACGCAGAUAAUAGUAGCAACAAAAUGACACGAUCAACAUGCUACGUUUAUUAGUUUUGGUCUAGUCCAUCACAUGAUUCACUCAAUGAUGUGAUCCAGUUAUCAAGCAACAACACCUUGUACAUAGUCAGAAGACCUUGACUAUCCUUGAUCAACUAGCUAGCCAACUAGAGUCUUGCUAGGGAUAGUGUUUUGUAUAUGUACCCACACAUGUAUCUAAGUCUUCAUUUAAUACAAUUAUAGCAUGGAUAAUAAACGAUUAUCUUGAUACAGGAAUUAUAAUAAUAACUUAUUUAUCAUUGCCUCUAGGGCAUAAUUCCAACAAAUGUCUCAUGAUGAUCUUAGAAUGGAAAACGAUUCAUUGCUUUCUCAACACAUCAGUGCCGCUCAGGUUGAAUUCAUUCCACCAUGUUUGAAAUGCAUCGAUCGUGAAACUGCUAAUUCUUCACUGGAACCGUCAAAUGCUUCUAUUGCUACAAAUUCUUCAACUGUCCCUGUGGUAUCAAAUUCUUCACUUGAAGAAACCACAAAUGCUACUGACGGAAAUGCAGGGCUGAAGGAAUUGUAUGUGACAGGCAUAUACAAAAGUCCCAAAGGGCAUCAAACCCUUUGGGGUGUGCUCAAAAAGUAGAUUUUGAAGAGGAACCCGAGGAAAGAAGGGAUUGCCUUUGAGAGGAAAUUGAAUGCUGAUGGAUCAUACUGGAAACCCGAGCAGUACCCCAAAACCUCAUGGGUUGCUGCUAAAGGUCCUCCCAUCGAUCCAUCUAUUCUAACAGGCUUUGCAUCUGAAUUAUCCUAUUCCUCACAUGAGUCAUUUGACUACAACUAUAAACUGUUCAAAAAUCAAUCUGGUGAAGUAUUUGCUCGAUAUGUUGGAACUAACUACAGGAAUGGACCACCCCUAAGGAAAAUCUGGGUUCCCAAAAGUUGCUUCGAAAAUCUUGAGGUGAAUGUCAUCAUGACACCACCUGUGAAGAACCAGAAACCCAGAUCAAUUUCCUUAGGUGGACCAAAGUCUUCGCGAGGAUCAAAAUCUUCAAAUGGUCAAUACUAUGCUCGUACUCGCGCUAAUGCUUCUGAUAUGCAGGGAAAUUACAGGGGAUAUGAAUAUGAGCGUUAUUCCUUAAAUCGUUAUGUUCAUAAGUCCUCAAAGAAUUUCUCUGCCUAUUCAUUUGAGUACUCUAACCCCCUACUGUGAAAAGAAGCGCAUUAGUAUCAAUGCCUCCAUUCUCAUAUGGUGCUCACAGGAUGAUGAUCUGUUUUCCACCCCUUCAGAUGUGGGUGGUGAAGAAAUUGAAGUAAUCACUUCUUCAUGUCAGGUCUCUAGAUGAAAGUCAUCAUCUGAAGAAUUUGUUGGACACCUGAGGAAAAUGAUUGAUUGGACGCAAGCUAAAAAUGAUGAAAUGAUAACAUUUCAGAUGUCCUCAAAUUUACUAUUUAUGAUGAAAUUCUUAUGUGAUGAAAUCGAUAGAAUAUUAUUCAAGUCUGAAGCAUAUGAGAUGGUAGGCUGUACUAAUUCAUCUGCAGGAUUGCAAACCCAAGAAUACCGAAUGGGUUCUUGAUAGUGGUUGCACUAAUCACAUGACUGGUGAUAAAAGCUUGCUGAUGAAUAUGCCACUCACUCCGUCACCACUGAAGCAAAUCACUUAUGCUGACAAAGGUAAAAGCAAGGUAUUGGGACUUGGCAAAGUGGCUAUCUCCAAGGACAUGCACAUGGACAAAGUCAUGCUUGUCGAAUCCCUUGGGUUUAACCUCAUAUUUGUCUCACUCUUUGUGAUCUUGAUAUGAUUGUCAUCUUUGGAAAAUUUAGAUGCGUAGUCAUCAUGGAAUUUGACAAAUCCAAAGUCUUCAAAGGCUUUAGGAGAGGAGAUUUGUACUUUGUUGAUUUUUCCAUAGGUCGUUACCCAACCACAUGCUUACUAGCAAAAACCUCAUAAGGCUGGCUAUGGCAUCGACGACUUGGUCAUGCAGGCAUGAGGAAUUUGCACACGCUGGCGAAAAAGAAGCAUGUCAUUGGCAUCGAAUCCAUCAAAUUCUUCAAGGACCAUCUCUGCGGUGCAUGUGAAUCUGGAAAAUAACCAGAUCCAAACACCCCUCGAAGACUAUCAUGACUACUACUCAUUCAUUUGAAUUGCUUCACGUGGAUCUGUUUGGACCUACUCAUUAUGCUACUCUAACCAAUGCAGCAUCUUAUAUGGCUUUUUCAUCGUUGAUGACUAUUCUCGCUAUACUUGGGUACACAUCAUUCUGUAUAAAACUGAAGUGCAAGAAGUCUUCAAACGAUUUUCCUCAAGGGCCUCGACCAACUUCGGCGUCAAGAUCAAAGACAUCAGGAGUGAUGAUGGCACAUAAUACAAAAUCACUGGUAUUAAUGAUUAUCUUGAUGAACUUGGUAUUACUCACGAAUUAUCUGCUCCUUAUACUCCUCAACAGAAUGGCGUCGUUGAACGCAAGAACAUGACUCUGGUUGAAAUCGCAGGAACUAUGCUUGAAGAAUAUCAGACUCCUCGUCGUUUCUGGCCUGAAGCAAUGAACACUGCUUGCCACAUCAUCAACCGGGUAUAUCUUCACAAAUUCCUCAAGAAAACCUCAUAUGAACUCCUCACUGAAAAGAAACGCAAUGUAAGUUAUUUCAAAGUCUUCGGUGCAAAAUGCUGGAUUAGAGAUCCUCACCAUAGCUGAAAAUUUGCACCUAAAGCACAUGAGGGUUUUAUGCUUGGUUACAGAAAGGAAUCGCACACCUAUAGAGUCUUCAACACCUAUCACAACAUGGUUGUUGAAACUAUAGAUGUGCAGUUUGAUGAAACUAAUGGCUCACAAAGAGAACAACUGCCUCAUGUGCCAGAUAAAUUACCUCAUGAGGAAGCCAUCAAGCUCAAGGGACCUGAAUAUAUCAUUCCUACUGAGGAACAACCCCUUGUUGAAGAAGUCAUCCCCAACACUAAGGAAAUUCAAACUAGUGCAUGUGAGGAAAAUGCUACAUAUCAAAUUCCUCAGCCUAACCAAAGUCUUCAACCGUCUCAUCCAAGGAUUGCAAAUGAAGUGGAACUUAAAAAAUCCUCGAUGACAUCAAUGCGCCAGGUCCUCUCACUCGUUCAAAAGCUUCAAAUUUAGUUAACUUUUGUGGGCAUUCCUCUUUUGUGUCUAUCACAGCUCAAAAGUUGAUGAAGCCUUCAUGGAACCUGAGUGGAUUCAAGCCAUGCAAGAUGAACUUCUUCAGUUCAAGCUAAAUGACGCGUGGGAACUCGUCAAAAGACCAGAUCCUUGCAAGCACAAUAUCACUGGCACCAAGUGGAUCUACCUAAACAAGCAAGAUGAGGAUGGUCAAGUGGUGAGGAAUAAGGCACGGCUUGUAGCCCAAGGCUACACAGAGGUCGAAGGAAUUGACUUCGAUGAAACUUUUGCACCUGUUGCUAGACUUGAAGCUAUUUGAAUAUUACUUGCUUAUGCUAAUCAUCACAAUAUUACUCUAUAUCAAAUGGAUGUGAAAAGUGCAUUCCUCAAUGGUAUGCUUGAGGAAGAAGUAUAUGUUGCUCAGCCCCCAGGUUUUGAAGACCCGAAGCAUCCAGACAAAGUCUUCAGACUGAAAAAGGCAUCUAUGGCCUCAAGCAAGACCCUCGGGCGUGGUAUGAUACAUUGAAGGAAUUCCUCAUAAAGAAAAGCUUCAAACCCGGUUCACUUGAUCCUACUCUUUUCACAAAAUCCUAUGAUAAUGAACUAUUUGUGUGCCAAAUAUAUGUCGACGACAUUAUUUUUGGUUGUACUGACAAACGUUACAGUGAUGAAUUUGCCUACAUGAUGAGUGAAGAAUAUCAAAUGUCUAUGAUGGGGGAGCUGAAAUUUUUCUUAGGUCUGCAAAUUCGUCGACAACGCAAUAGCAUCUUCAUAUAUAUCACACUGAAAUAACUCAAGGACGUUUGAUACGUCUCCAACGUAUCUACUUUUCCAAACUCUUUUGCCCUUGUUUUGGACUAUAAUUUGCAUGAUUUGAAUGGAACUAACCUGGACUGACGCUGUUUUCAGCAGAAUUUGCUUGGUGUUAUUUUUGUGCAGAAAUCAAAGUUCUCCAAACGUCCUGAAAAUUUACGGGGAGCAGUUUUGCAAAAUAUCAAAAAUAUGUGCGCCAAGUUCCACCUCAGGGGGUGGGCCAGUGGACCACAAGCCCAUGCUCCGCCACCACCCCUGGUGGCGGUGGGCAGGCUUGUGGGGCCCACAGGCACCUGCCGCCCCCAACUCCAGCUCUAUAAGUUGUCUUUCGUCCCAGAAAAAAUAAAAAGAGAAGUUUUCGUCGCGUUUUCGAUACGGAGGCGCCGCCACCACCUGUUUUUCAUCUGGAGGGCAGAUCUGGAGUCCGUCUUGGGCUCCAGAGAGGGUAAAUGGUCGCCAUCAUCAUCAUCAACCUUCUCCCCUCUCCAAUUCCAUGAAGCUCUUCGUCGUUCGUGAGUAAUCUAUUCGUAGGCUCGCUGGGCGGUGAUGAGUAGGAUGAGAUCUAUCAUGUAAUCAAGUUAGUUUUGAUGGGCAUUGAUCCCUAGUAUCCACUAUGUUCUGAGAUUUGAUGUUGCUACUACUUUGCCAUGCUUAAUGCUUGUCACUAGGGCCCGAGUGCCAUGAUUUCAGANNNNNNNNNNNNNNNNNNNNNNNNNNNNNNNNNNNNNNNNNNNNNNNNNNNNNNNNNNNNNNNNNNNNNNNNNNNNNNNNNNNNNNNNNNNNNNNNNNNNGGCUCACUCGGUCGUGUUACCUAGAACCUCAUGAAGAAUGAUCAGAGCACAAUCAUUACUGGAUAAGCCGAGGUGGGCACUCCAAUCUUGUCUACAAUUACAGCUCCAUAGUGUACAUUCUGAUCGCGCAGAUCAUUUCUCUCUGCAGUACUCCAUGAUAAGCUCUGCAGCUCUCGGUGGUGCAUAGAUAACAGAGCAAUUGGCAGAUGGUAGGUAGCAAGGACAGAGAAGAACAUCAACAGUUCACCCCUUGGAAUUUCAGAUGCGAGACUUUGAUGUAAACCUUAGGAAAAACAGCAUAGUGUCAGGAUUGAAACUGUGUAUUAGUAGUAGUGCUAGCACUUAACAAAUAGCUCACGAUAGCCAUUUGGGCCACCUACUCUCCGAAGGCGGUAGUUGUGGAUGAAUAUACAUCGGCUUCACACUUCCACGGGGUGCCGAAGUUGUAGAACAUGCAUUCCAUUCUGUCCCGGUUAAACAAUGUAAAAUAACGGCUCCCCUCAUCUUAAACUACUGCGCCCUACCUUUCAGUUAGCCAAGGCGUACUUCGUUGGCAUUACUUCAUGCUUAUACCAAUACCAGCCAUCCAUAUAUCUUCAGAGACAUUAUAUGGCUCCAUCGCAUUUGCAUAUGGC